rnacentral:rRNA from 1 species
AUGACGAAGGCGAUGCCGCGUGAUUCUUCAGCGAGUGGAGCGUUGGUGCCGAGUGACUUGUCAGCGACGGCGGCGGCGGGGAAGCUCCCGUUCCCGCUGCUCACGAGGACGAACUACGCGGCGUGGGCGAUGAGGAUGAAGUACCUCUUGCGCGCCAAUGGCGCAUGGGGGGCCGUUGAUCGCGAGGCGUCGGCCUCGGAGGUCGACAAGGGCAAGGAGGAGAUGGCCAUGACGAUCAUCUCCCAGUCGAUCGACGACACGACGCUGCUGCGCGUUGCUGAGAAGGAGACCGCCGCCGAUGUGUGGGCGGCGCUACGCUCCAUGCACGUUGGCGUCGAGCGCGUCCGAGAGGCGAGGAUUUAG